rnacentral:rRNA from 1 species
UACAGAAGUCUCAAGCGUUGUUCGGAUUCAUUGGGCGUAAAGGGUGCGCAGGCGGCGCGGUAAGUCGGGUGUGAAAUCUCGGAGCUUAACUCCGAAACUGCAUUCGAUACUGCCGUGCUUGAGGACUGGAGAGGAGACUGGAAUUUACGGUGUAGCGGUGAAAUGCGUAGAUAUCGUAAGGAAGACCAGUGGCGAAGGCGGGUCUCUGGACAGUUCCUGACGCUGAGGCACGAAGGUCAGGGGAGCAAACGGG